GACGAACGCUGGCGGCGUGCUUAACACAUGCAAGUCGAGCGGAGCGGCGAACGGGUGAGUAACGCGUGAGUAACUGCCCCCCUAUCUGGGAUAACAGUUGGAAACGGCUGCUAAUACCGGAUAGUGGGGGAUGAAUCGCGUCCUCUCGUCUUGUUGGUGGGGUAGUGGCCUGGCAAGGGGACGACGGGUUGCCGGCCUGAGAGGUCGACCGGCCACAAUGGGCUUAUGUACGGACCAAUCUCCUACUGUAGGCAGAAGGUGGGAAUCUUGCACAAUGGGGGAAACCCUGUUGCAGCAACGCCGCGUGCGGGAGGACGGCUGUCUGGUUGUAAACCGCUUUCAGCCAUAACGCGGUAGUGGCAGAAGAAGCACCGGCUAACUACGUGCCAGCAGCCGCGGUAAUUC
rnacentral:rRNA from 1 species